UUUCCAAAAUCAAAGUCCUGUAAAUGACCUAAAAUUUAUUUAUUCAUCUCCGUUUUUCUUAUAAUUUAAGUUCCUUUUGAUUGAGUUAAAUCGGGUGCUUUUAUUUUGGUAGUGUUGUACGGCAGGAAGGAGUAUGGCGUGUGACAACAAAAAGUGUAGAAUGUAAAAAAACGGAAAGUUAAGGAAAUAGAAAACGGACAAAUCAUUUAAAGUUCAGCACCUGGCUAAAGGGGACAAGAGCUCCAUGUGGACGAGUGGGUCCAUCAGCGUCCCGGUGACGGAGCGGAGGAGUCGGCCCAGUGUCAGGAGACGCCGGCCGGGGAGGAGGACAGCGACACGGACCUCACCUACGGAGAGGUGGAGCAACGACUGGACCUGCUGCAGCAACACCUGAACAGGUGAACAGACGCCCGAAACAGAACAUCAGACACGAGUUACUGUUACUGCACAACCUCAGAAACGCAUCCAAUGCAGCUCCUCAGUUCUAGGAAUUAAAGGGUCUGAACCCAGAGCACUUCACUGUCCUCCAUUUUUUUCUGCACUCUAAAGUUCUACGUCUCCAUGGAAACACCACAGCCAUGGAAGAAAAGUAGAGGGAACUCGGAAAUGUGCGGUUAUAAUGCCAAAAAAAACAUUUACUGUAAUAGGAAAAAAAACAAACCUGUUCUCACAGGUGUUACCACUGGGGGGGGAGGAAGGGUGAGUCGACAUACAUUAUAGGGAUACUCUACUACUAAUUUUUAAUUUGUUUGUGUCAAUAUAGAAUCCAGUUUUGAUGAAAUGCCUCAAUUUGAAGCAUCACGUUCAGCGUCACACAUGAAGUUUAGAAAGUGUAAUUUUGACUAUUGUUAACCAUGUAAGAGCCAAAUAUAGAAAAAAGAGCCAAAAAAUGAUUAAAAAAUAAAAACAAAUUACAUACAAACCCAAAUAUUGAAGAAAAUGGAUGAAGAGAGCAUGGGGCGGCAUGGCUCAGUGGGUAGAGUGGCCGUCUUGUAACUGGAAGGUUGCCGGUUCGAUCCUCAGCCGCUCGUGUCGCCUCCUGAUGGGUCGUGGUUAGCGCCUUGCAUGGCAGCGUCUGCCAUCAGUGUGUGAAUGUGACGUACCAUGUAAAGCGCUUUGGAUAAAAGCACUAUAUAAAUACAACCAUUUACCAUUUAAAA